rnacentral:tRNA from 1 species
GGGCGCGUAGCUCAGCGGUAGAGCAUCCGCCUUUUAAGCGGAUGGCCCCAGGUUCGAUCCCUGGCGCGCCCACCA